AUACGGAGGGUGCGAGCGUUAAUCGGAAUUACUGGGCGUAAAGCGUACGUAGGCGGUUAUUUAAGUCAGAUGUGAAAGCCCCGGGCUUAACUUGGGAACUGCAUUUGAAACUGGGUAACUAGAGUUUAGUAGAGGGGAGUGGAAUUUCAGGUGUAGCGGUGAAAUGCGUAGAGAUCUGAAGGAACACCAGUGGCGAAGGCGACUCCCUGGACUAAAACUGACGCUGAGGUACGAAAGCGUGGGUAGCAAACAGGAUUAGAAACCCCGGUAGUCC
rnacentral:rRNA from 1 species